GAUGAACGCUGGCGGCGUGCCUAAUACAUGCAAGUCGAGCGAACGGACGAGAAGCUUGCUUCUCUGAUGUUAGCGGCGGACGGGUGAGUAACACGUGGAUAACCUACCUAUAAGACUGGGAUAACUUCGGGAAACCGUAGCUAAUACCGGAUAAUAUUUUGAACCGCAUGGUUCAAAAGUGAAAGACGGUCUUGCUGUCACUUAUAGAUGGAUCCGCGCUGCAUUAGCUAGUUGGUAAGGUAACGGCUUACCAAGGCAACGAUGCAUAGCCGACCUGAGGGGGUGAUCGGCCACACUGGAACUGAGACACGGUCCAGACUCCUACGGGAGGCAGCAGUAGGGAAUCUUCCGCAAUGGGCGAAAGCCUGACGGAGCAACGCCGCGUGAGUGAUGAAGGUCUUCGGAUCGUAAAACUCUGUUAUUAGGGAAGAACAUAUGUGUAAGUAACUGUGCACAUCUUGACGGUACCUAAUCAGAAAGCCACGGCUAACUACGUG
rnacentral:rRNA from 1 species